rnacentral:rRNA from 1 species
GAGUUUGAUCCUGGCUCAGAACGAACGCUGGCKGCGUGCUUAACACAUGCAAGUCGAAYGUGAUCCGGAGCUUGCUCYGGUGAAAGUGGCGCACGGGUGAGUAACGCGUGGAUAAYCUGCCCUGGUAUCUGGGAUAACAUCUCGAAAGGGGUGCUAAUACCGGAUAAGCCUACGGKSUCYUCGGAGUCUGCAGGAAAAGGUGGCCUCUAUUUAUAAGCUACCGUAUCAGGAUGRGUCCGCGUACCAUUAGCUAGUUGGUGGGGUAAUGGCCYACCAAGGCUACRAUGGUUAGCUGGUCUGAGAGGAUGAUCAKUCACACUGGAACUGAGACACGGUYCARACUCCUACGGGAGGCAGCAGUGGGGAAUUUUGCGCAAUGGGSGAAACCCUGAC